GGGUUUUGUUUUGGCUGGGGGUAGCAAGCAGUUUGAAUGAGAGGACUGUUGUGACGUACGCUCGUUCUUUCUCUUCCGCCAUGGGGCGAGGAAAAGGCGGGAAACAAACACCUCAAGCCGGGCUUAGCCCUUCGGCCUCCUUUAGUGCCGCACCUCUUUCGGCUUCAUGGAAGUCUCACAGAAUGGCGGGGAGAUGCUGCAGAAGUUCAGUAAACUGGAAGAAAAUAUGCUUCUCUAAAGUGUAUUGUAUCAUAAUGGAUAAAGUGAUUGGAAAGAAAGGAGGGAGAGGAAAUGGAAAAAUACAUGGAAGAUUGGUACCUAUGGUGAAAAGACUGCAGGACAACAGAGAAGAAGUGGAGACUCUGGAGCGGGCAAUUCGGAAUAAUCAAUGAGGCUCUUUCAGGCUCAAGGAUUGGACUGCUGAGAUCGCUGGCUGGAGCUGAGUUAGAUGGUGCCUUAAAUACAGGUUGCAGAAAGUCAGUGGCAGAACCCAAAAAUAAAAAUUAAAAUUGAGUGGGACACAAAAA